GACGAACGCUGGCGGCGUGCUUAACACAUGCAAGUCGAACGGAAAGGCCCUGCUUUUGUGGGGUGCUCGAGUGGCGAGCGGGUGAGUAACACGUGAGUAACCUGCCCUUGACUUUGGGAUAACUUCAGGAAACUGGGGCUAAUACCGGAUAGGAGCUCCUGCUGCAUGGUGGGGGUUGGAAAGUUUCGGCGGUUGGGGAUGGACUCGCGGCUUAUCAGCUUGUUGGUGGGGUAGUGGCUUACCAAGGCUUUGACGGGUAGCCGGCCUGAGAGGGUGACCGGCCACAUUGGGACUGAGAUACGGCCCAGACUCCUACGGGAGGCAGCAGUGGGGAAUAUUGCACAAUGGGCGGAAGCCGGAUGCAGCAACGCCGCGUGCGGGAUGACGGCCUUCGGGUGGUAAACCGCUUUCGCCUGUGACGAAGCGUGAGUGACGGUAAUGGGUAAAGAAGCACCGGCUAACUACGU
rnacentral:rRNA from 1 species